rnacentral:rRNA from 1 species
AACGAACGCUGGCGGCAUGCCUAACACAUGCAAGUCGAACGAGAUCUUCGGGUCUAGUGGCGCACGGGUGCGUAACGCGUGGGAAUAUGCCCUUUGGUUCGGAAUGACAGUUGGAAACGACUGCUAAUACCGGAUGAUGACGAAAGUCCAAAGAUUUAUCGCCAGAAGAUGAGCCCGCGUAGGAUUAGCUAGUUGGUGGGGUAAAGGCGCACCAAGGCGACGAUCCUUAGCUGGUCUGAGAGGAUGAUCAGCCACACUGGGACUGAGACACGGCCCAGACUCCUACGGGAGGCAGCAGUGGGGAAUAUUGGACAAUGGGCGAAAGCCUGAUCCAGCAAUGCCGCGUGAGUGAUGAAGGCCUUAGGGUUGUAAAGCUCUUUUACCCGGGAUGAUAAUGACAGUACCGGGAGAAUAAGCUCCGGCUAACUCCGUGCCAGCAGCCGCGGUAA